UCUGCCGCCUGCCUGACUGACUGCCUGGCGUGUGCUAUUUAUAGAGCCCUCUCCUACAAACGCUUCUUGAGGGGGGAACCAUGCAGCAACCACCAUGGCUCCUGUUUGGAUUUAUUGCUGAAAUUAUCAUCAUUGGAGAGAUCAUGCCGCUGGCCUCGCGUCUAAGCCUAUUUCGAAACCUUUCAGGCGCGUAGGCUGGUGCGAGAGAGAAAUAUGGAACUCACAGCAAGGGAGGACGUUUGUGCUUGGGGUGUGCAAUAUUUGCAAAACAAUCUUUCCCUCCCCAUCCCAGCCUCCCAGGAGUAGAAAUUAAAAUAAUGGAGGUCAGCGCCCUGGGCAGCUGGCAGCAACUGCCCACCGUUCCUCGCCUUUCAGGGUGCAUCUUUUCCUAACGCUGCGGAGCGCGAACCCAAACGUUAAGUAUUCAGAAAGAACACCAGGCAAAGCCUAUUAAUAGCAACCGAGAGUUUGGCGCUAGCUCUCGCAUACACACACACACACGCACGCACGCGCCGCGCGCACUCCCGCUGAUGCCGAACAUUCUUCUGCAUCCUAUUAACAGCGCCUACCCCCCCAGGAAAGGCCCCACGAAGAAGAUCUCUCAAGUCUGGGCAUUUUCAAGAUUUGUUACACAAUGGCAGUAUUCUUGACUUGGUUUUCUCAUUGUGGUGGUGGAGUCUACCACAGCAAGAUAUCUCUUGGAGAGGGACAGAGGCUCAGCAACAACUGCCUGGAAUUGAGGGAUGCAGCAGGAUGGUCCUCUGGUAAAGUGCCGCCUACCCCUGCCCGUCGUGUGUGGGAUUGGGCUCCCAUGCCUGUAUUUUGCAGUGCAGCUCUGUCUACAUCAUCAGUGGCUCGGUGCUCUUCUGGAUGCCUGAAGUGACACUGAUUUAGUGCAAACUCUACCAAUUUGUCCUCUUAAGACACCUAUGAACAUAUUUGUUUGCCACUGAAUUCUAACAUCCAGAUUAAACCAUAUGCAUGCUUUCCAUAAAGAACUGAGGACCCAGUGUCUUUUAAUAUCAUCCCACUCUACAUACAGAGCUAGAAGCACAACUGAGGACAAAGAUUCUUUGCAAACCCAUAUAUAUACCUCUCUGAUUGAUGGAUGUAAUGUUCCCUCCCACACACUUCUCUGAUGAGAUGGUGAAUAAUCAUUAUCAAGAGUCAUUAUAUAUACUCCUUUCCUCAGAUUUUCUCCUCUGUCACAAAGUGUCAGUUGGCUAUUUUUACCCCAGCUCCUCCCCCCCCCCCUUUUUUUGUAUUUCUGACUUAUACUGCCACACCAAUCUUUCAUAAAACUGUAGAAGAUUAGGGAGGCAACAAGGCAAAAGGCAAGGAUUGCCUAGAAAGAAACUCCUGUAGAUCAACUCACAUGCUCUAGGCUAGAAAUAGCCAACUGUCACUUUGACCUUCUUACUGCUUUUAAACCAUGGAUGUUCUACCUUAAUAAAAACCAUGAGAUCAUCAACUGUC